AUCAACAUAGGCACCUCAGUUGUUUCCCCGACUCGGACUGCAAGGAAUCUGGGUGUGACACUGGACGACCAACUGUCCUUCAAUGCCAACAUUGCUGCAACAACCCGCUCCUGCAGACACACUCAAGAUGUACUCAAAAUGAUUGUAACUAUUUGAAGCUAAUGUACUUGCAAGAUUCUUGCUGUUGUAGUUGUAUUCUCAUGAUUGUUUGCACCUGUUGUAAGUCACUUUGGACAAAAGUGUCAGCUAAAUGUACUGUAAUGUAAUUAUUAGAGCUUGGUUUUGUUGAUGCACUUUUGUAUUGGAUUUUGUAUGUAUUGUAUGUAUGUAUUGUAGCUACACUCUUAUCUUAUAAUUUAAUUUAGUGUAUUCCACAUAAGAAAGACAAAUGUGACUAAAAGAUUAAUUAGGCAUACUGUAUAUCUUUACCAUUGAACUGUUUGACAUUCAGUGUCCUAUAGAUCCUAACAUGCAACACAAACCACUAACCACUGUGAAAUAUGAUCAGCAUUAUUGAAUGUUCCAGGACAGCCACAGAACCGGAAGUCGUUCUGGUAUGCCAUCUUGAAGACCGUCCCAAAGCUUAUUUCUGCUUGGAGGAUCGAGGAGCGAUGAGCAUGGAUACACCAGAGCAGCCUUCACGGAACUCUUUUACCAGCUUACGCACCCUCUUACUGCAUAUCAGUAAGAUAUUGAUUGGACGCUGCAGCUGAUCGGACUGAUCUGAUACAUCUCAACAUCACUGGAGUUUCAUACUGGAGUGAAGACAGAUAACAGAUUAAACUCUAGUGCAUCACUUUAAAGAUGUAUAUGGUAUUUGUUUUCUAAUUUACCAUCUACUUAAAAAAUAAGUUAACUGUAAAUCUAAACAACAAAACGGAUCACAAACAACUUUCAUCAUUUAUAAGAAAGAUUUUUCUCUUGAUCUGUUAUUUCUCCCAUCAACUUUUAUUAUGGAUACAAUUCAAUCAGAGAGAAUCGUCUGUCAGCAAGAAACACUAUUUACAUUUUUAUUUACCGUCAUCGCCAUUCAUGUGAGGUUGAUCAUUCCUGAGCGCCAGAUUUGAUAUGAAUUAUGUAUUUUCCCUGAAACAUUAAGCCUAAUAAGAAAUGAUCAAAUUCAAGGUUAUUAAAUAAUGAGUUCACAAUCAGAAUAUCAAUACAUAUUGACACAAAUAAUAUAAAUGCAUAGAAAAGGUCCCUGUGCCUCUAAGAUGAACACAGUAUAAAGACAGACUGCAGGUUGUUAUUCAUGUGCAUGUGUUUGUUAGACAGGGACCUGAUACUGCUGCUCUGGCCCUGAUAACUGUCUUUAUUAGUAUUAGCACAAACUUUGUCAACAGUCUGUACAGAUGGUUUCCUUGCAUCUCUCCAUGUAUCCCCGAUAGGAGGGACUAAGACGAAAGUGAGGGACACGUUGAGGCAAUUUAAGAGACUUUGGAUGUACCCUUGGAUGAACCCUCUUUGUGUGUAAAAUGUGUGCGUGUAGAACUGAGAUCUACAAAUGCCUUUUAGAUUCACAAAUGUCUGUUCGAAAGUUGUAAAUGUUCGAAAGAUAUUCACAAAUGCUCUUUAUUUAGUUGUACAUUAAUUUAAUGUAUUUACAGUUUUUUAUUUAUUUGUGGAAUAUGUUUGUGUAUUUACAGAUCUGUCAUUUUUGUAAAAUCUUUUUUUGAGUUCACAAA